UCACAAACCUAAAAACCCCAUAUAGAUAUAUGUGGGUAGAUUGUACACAACUAGAUAUAAAUAGGGCAUGCAAGUGUACAAUUUGCCAGGAGACACAAGUGCAUUUUGGUUUUGAUUUUACAACAGACGAAGGUUUAGUUUAGUUAACUGCUCCCUUGUUUUUGCACGGGAUCAGUUGGAGCAAUUACCUAGGCUACACCCCUAGUGAAUGGGGAGAGGGGGAGAGUAAGCAAAGCUGUCAUGUUUUGUGUAGACGGCUAUAAGGGUUUAUUUCCAGCAGUAUUUAAUGUUAUUUUAUUUAUUUAUUUUUUGUGUUUACAUGUCUCACAGUGCAUCUCAAUGCAAUGGCACACUCUCAAGGUAUUCUCCACACAAAAGCAACAGUCAUAUCAUCAAUUUAAAUCUAUAAACAUUAUGUACAUAUUGGUUCUUAAAUUAGACUAAAAUCACUUCGAUUAAGAAACUGAAAUUCACCUCCUGAAAUGUAAGGGGUAUGUGUUAUGGGCUGAGUUUUUUGAUGCAUGUUUUGUGGCUGCUCUUGUGAUGUGUUUUCUUUUUUUUGUUCUCCUGUCCUUCCAUGACCUGCAGGGCUGGUGUGUGGCGGAGGCGGGGCUGACCUACUUUUCCACCACGGGUGGUGAGGCACACCUGGUUUCCAUUUCACCUCAUCUACCUCACUAUAAAGCCGGCUCUGACUUCACUUCAGUGCCAGAUAAUUCCAUCUCGUUCGUUUGGUGCCUCGCCGCCUUAUUCUCCAGAGCUCUCGCCUCCUGCCACCACCAGGUAGUGUCACAAUCCCUGUCUCUCAGUCCUCUCCUGCCACUCUGCUGCAGUGUUUUUCCACUCCCCCUCCCUCUGCUUCACUCUACCUGCCAGCCGCGCCCACCUCAUCAGCCCAACUCUGCUCACCUGCCUACACAGCUGCAGCUCAUCAACCAGCCCUGCAUAUAAGCCUCUCCAGCACCUUCACUCACUGCCAGAUUGUUCUUUAGCAUUAUGCGAGACUCUCCAGCGUUCUUCUCCUGCCUGAUCUCCCGGUGCCAACUCUGCCUGUCCCCGACCUGCUCUCCUCGUCUGCCUCCCGGUAAACUCACCUGCCUUCUGUCCCCGACCUCGUGCUUUGCUUCAGCGUCUCUGGUUUCUGCCUGCUCGUCUGGUCUCGACUCCUCCGCCCGGCCUCGUCUACCCUCCUGCCUGCUCCUCAACGGUGCUUCUGCCUUCGCUGACGGCUCUUCUAGCUACGACCCCCCCCACCGGCUCCCGACCUCGCCUCAGCUCACUCCUCGUCGGCUUCUCAGCACGAUCAGCCGGCGCUUCAGCCUACGGUGCGUCUGCCUCGCCACCUUUGGCUGCCGUAAGCUUGAUCUCUUUCCUUCAUCUGAGCCUCAGAGACUGUGUGAGGGCAACUUGCCCGAAGAACGAACUUUAUUCUGUGUUUAUUCUGCCUGCUGCAUUCCCUGUUUGCUGUGGUGCUAAUAAAAGUCAUUACCAACUGUU